rnacentral:rRNA from 1 species
UACGGAGGGUGCAAGCGUUAUCCGGAUUCACUGGGUUUAAAGGGUGCGUAGGUGGGCCUGUAAGUCAGUGGUGAAAUCUCCGAGCUUAACUCGGAAACUGCCAUUGAUACUAUAGGUCUUGAAUUAUCUGGAGGUGAGCGGAAUAUGUCAUGUAGCGGUGAAAUGCUUAGAUAUGACAUAGAACACCAAUUGCGAAGGCAGCUCACUACGGAUAUAUUGACACUGAGGCACGAAAGCGUGGGGAUCAAACAGG